rnacentral:rRNA from 1 species
CAGAGGCCCCGAGCGUUAAUCGGAAUUACUGGGCUUAAAGGGUGCGUAGGCGGACCCGAAAGUGCUUUGUGAAAGCCCCCGGCUCAACCGGGGAACGUGCGGGGCGAUACUGCUGGUCUUGAGGCAGGUAAGGGUUGCGAGAACUGUAGGUGGAGCGGUGAAAUGCGUAGAUAUCUACAGGAAUGCCGAUGGUGAAGACGCGCAACUGGGCCUGUCCUGACGCUGAGGCACGAAAGCGUGGGGAGCAAACAGGAUUAGAUACCCUGGUAGUCCACGCCGUAAACAAUGCACGCUAGAUCGGGGUGGCUCUGACGCCGGCUCGGUCGAAGCAAAAGCGAUAAGCGUGCCGCCUGGGGAGUACGGUCGCAAGGCUAA